rnacentral:rRNA from 1 species
GACGAACGCUGGCGGCGUGCUUAACACAUGCAAGUCGAACGGAAAGGCCCUGCUUUUGUGGGGUGCUCGAGUGGCAAACGGGUGAGUAACACGUGAGUAACCUGCCCUUGACUUUGGGAUAACUUCAGGAAACUGGGGCUAAUACCGGAUAGGAGCUCCUGCUGCAUGGUGGGGGUUGGAAAGUUUCGGCGGUUGGGGAUGGACUCGCGGCUUAUCAGCUUGUUGGUGGGGUAGUGGCUUACCAAGGCUUUGACGGGUAGCCGGCCUGAGAGGGUGACCGGCCACAUUGGGACUGAGAUACGGCCCAGACUCCUACGGGAGGCAGCAGUGGGGAAUAUUGCACAAUGGGCGGAAGCCUGAUGCAGCAACGCCGCGUGCGGGAUGACGGCCUUCGGGUUGUAAACCGCUUUCGCCUGUGACGAAGCGUGAGUGACGGUAAUGGGUAAAGAAGCACCGGCUAACUACGUGCCAGCAGCCGCGGUGAUACGUAGGGUGCGAGCGUUGUCCGGAUUUAUUGGGCGUAAAGGGCUCGUAGGUGGUUGAUCGCGUCGGAAGUGUAAUCUUGGGGCUUAACCCUGAGCGUGCUUUCGAUACGGGUUGACUUGAGGAAGGUAGGGGAGAAUGGAAUUCCUGGUGGAGCGGUGGAAUGCGCAGAUAUCAGGAGGAACACCAGUGGCGAAGGCGGUUCUCUGGGCCUUUCCUGACGCUGAGGAGCGAAAGCGUGGGGAGCGAACAGGCUUAGAUACCCUGGUAGUCCACGCUGUAAACGGUGGGUACUAGGUGUGGGGUCCAUUCCACGGGUUCCGUGCCGUAGCUAACGCUUUAAGUACCCCGCCUGGGGAGUACGGCCGCAAGGCUAAAACUCAAAGGAAUUGACGGGGCCCCGCACAAGCGGCGGAGCAUGCGGAUUAAUUCGAUGCAACGCGUAGAACCUUACCUGGGUUUGACAUGGAUCGGGAGUGCUCAGAGAUGGGUGUGCCUCUUUUGGGGUCGGUUCACAGGUGGUGCAUGGCUGUCGUCAGCUCGUGUCGUGAGAUGUUGGGUUAAGUCCCGCAACGAGCGCAACCCUUGUUCACUGUUGCCAGCACGUUAUGGUGGGGACUCAGUGGAGACCGCCGGGGUCAACUCGGAGGAAGGUGGGGAUGACGUCAAGUCAUCAUGCCCCUUACGUCCAGGGCUUCACGCAUGCUACAAUGGCUGGUACAGAGAGUGGCGAGCCUGUGAGGGUGAGCGAAUCUCGGAAAGCCGGUCUCAGUUCGGAUUGGGGUCUGCAACUCGACCUCAUGAAGUCGGAGUCGCUAGUAAUCGCAGAUCAGCAACGCUGCGGUGAAUACGUUCCCGGG